UACAGAGGGUGCGAGCGUUACUCGGAAUUACUGGGCGUAAAGCGCGCGUAGGUGGCUAUGCAAGUCGGAUGUGAAAUCCCCGGGCUCAACCUGGGAACUGCAUUCGAGACUGCAUUGCUCGAGUAUGGGAGAGGGAAGUGGAAUUUCCGGUGUAGCGGUGAAAUGCGUAGAUAUCGGAAGGAACAUCAGUGGCGAAAGCGACUUCCUGGACCAAUACUGACACUCAAGUGCGAAAGCGUGGGGAGCAAACAGG
rnacentral:rRNA from 1 species